rnacentral:rRNA from 1 species
UGGGGAAUAUUGGACAGAUUGCGUGUACUAUAUGAAUAAGCACCGGCUAACUCCGUGCCAGCAGCCGCGGUAAUACGGAGGGUGCCAGCGUUGUCUGGAUUUAUUGGGUUUAAAGGGUACGUAGGCGGAAUGCUAAGUCCGAGGUGAAAGCCCACCGCUUAACGGUGGAGGUGCCUUGGAUACUGGUAAUCUUGAGUGCCGUAGAGGUAGGCGGAAUUCAUGGUGUAGCGGUGAAAUGCAUAGAUACCAUGAGGAACACCGAUAGGGAAGCCAGCUUACUGGACGGUCACUGACGCUGAGGUACGAAAGCGUGGGGAGCGAACAGGAUUAGAUACCCCCGUAGUCC